rnacentral:misc_RNA from 1 species
GCCAAAUCUGCUGGCAUUGCGAAGGAAAACUACACUGUUAUGCAUUUGGACCUUGCCUCGCUCGACAGUGUUCGCCAGUUUGUCGACAACUUCAGGCAGUCAGGCAGGCCACUUGAUGUUCUUGUGUGCAAUGCUGCUGUUUACCUACCAACUGCUAAAGAGCCUACCUUCACUGCUGAAGGUUUUGAACUUAGUGUUGGAACUAACCA